UUUUGUUUGUUUUUGUUUUCCUAUGAGUCUGUGUUGCCACAAAUCAAAAUUCAGGCUUUUCUGUCUGUAUCCUGUCUUCUGGGAAUUGUGAAGAGUCUUUCCUCAAGGGAGCAUUACUCCUGCUCAGCUUUCACCCAGUGUAUGCCAUUGUUCAGCUCUGGGCUAUUGUUUUGGGAUAUUAUUGAUUUUAUGACUUGCAUUGUUGUCUGCACAAAACCAGGCCCAUUUCGGGUAAUUUGCUGCUUUCAUACUUUCUGAAGGAAGGGAAUGUAUGUUGGCUUGACUGAAGCAGCAACAAAACCCUGCUAUUAUUUUUUGUGGUUUAAAAAGAGAAUCCAUCUCACGUUUCCCUGGAGGAAUUACUACAACAUUACUCAGAACCCUUUGUGCGGGCGUUGCCUUUGGGAUGUUAUCCCAGAUAGCGCACAUCGCUGUUCUGACUGGCUGGCAUGCAAAAAAAGAUGGGAAAAACCAGUCUGCCAGGCAAUUCUAGCCAUAAUUCCAUGAAAAUUCACAGUAGUAGGUGAAUCCUCCAGGAGAGAGCAAGGUGCAGAGAAUAAUUUUACUUACAAAUUCAAAGCAUUGUACAAAGAUUAAAUCAUCUCUGAAGAGUUUCCAAGUGAUAUGUCCUAGUGAAGUGAUUCCAGUGACUGAAAUGCUGCUCACACACCAGCAGGCAGGGAAUUCAAUUAAGGAGAAGAAAGUAAGAACACCAAGGACAAAUUGUGGCUGCAGGGAGCAGUUUGCAGUGCACUGGUUCCCUGCACACAGGGAACACAGGAACAGGUGAGGAGCCACCUGUGAGCAGCCAUGGGACCACACAGCUCUGCUGGGACUGGGAAGGCAGCUCCAGGAUCCCCAGGGUGUAUCCAGCAUGUAGCACCAUCCCUCUGUUUUGCCACAGACAUGUGAAAGUGUGUGCCCCCAGGAGGAAGCAUCCAGCUCUGGCUGAUGAGAGAAGAGGCAGAGCCCCGCCGCAAUCCGUGGGGACUCCGUUAGGAUGUGCAGCCACCCACAGAGUUACAUGUGCUGGAGCUUUUGACAACACAGAACACCUUCCCUGCUGUCUUUUUCUCUCUCUCCACUAAUCCUCCUCCCACUCAGCAAGAAAAGUCGCUGCACAGGCUCACACAGAUGCCACGCUAUCAGCCUUACUCUAGAAUGAUCUCACACGUCUCUGGAGAACCGUUCCUGACUCUUGUUUAGGGAGGCUGGGAAUUGGGCUGCCUGCAGUGUUCGAGCUGUACCCUGGGAUAAACAACACAUUCAGGUUGUGGCUGAUUACUAUUUCCUGUUCUUGCUCUCAGAAUUCCUUCAAGAGAAGCUCCGAGGAGCCUCACUUGGGUGGAUGGAGCUGUGCUGUCCCCAUCUUCCCUCUGCCAUGUGAGUGUCAGCACAAAUGCCUGUGCUCAGAAUUUAUGAACAGAAAUGCAAAACAUGUUUGUCUGGUACAGAAAUGCCAGCCUUCCAAACCUCAGGUAGCCUCAGAUGGUGUUUUUGACAGAUCUGUAUGUCUUGCCCGCUGCUGAAGAUUUCUCUCUGGAUCUUUCAGUGUCAGUUUUCUCUUUUGAGGGUGGUUUCAGUACGUGAGGUACAUGAUCCCAUCCCUGGAGAGCAUCUUCUGCCACUGGAGGGUCUCCUGGCAAGAGGGGCUGCCACUCACUGCAUCCUCCUGCCUCUUCUUCCCAGCAUACCAGAUGGAGAUGAACAUGGAAGCACCAGGAGAAGUCUCCACAUGACAUCCAGCCAGCUCAGGACUGAAUUUCAUCCAUAGCCACUACAAGUUUAGAAGGUGCUAUAGAGAAGUGUAACCUUACAGAAAUAAACAGUAAGGCAGAUGAGGUUUUACAGCAAGAGAAAACAUCACAGGUUUUGUAUAAUCUGGCACUGGCCAUUUUUGGUAUGCCAGGGUAAGUGUCUCUACUCUCUGUGUGGUUGGUUGAGUUAAAAUGAAUCCAUGGGUGUAAUUCAGAGGCUGGGUGGAUUGAACUGAUUCCUCUUCAGAGCCUAAGCUGGCUCUGUAAGUAUAAACCAUACAAAUUCCUCCUUUGUCAGGGUAAGGCCUUUCAAAGAAAUUUCAGUUUUUACAUUUUUACACAAUUCUUAAUCCCAUUCUAUUCUUUCCUUGUAUUUUGAGCACAUUUGGAGCCUGUGCCACCACUUGACCCCACAUAUGUGCACCAGCUCCAUGACUCACCUUUGAGCAUUACUGCACAUGAUGAAUAUUGGGUUUGUGUAACAGAUCUCUGGCAGAGGGGUUAUUUCCCCAAGUUUUUGAAUUAGGAGAAUCUGGGAUACCCUUUGUUUCACGCUUCAGUGUUUGACUCACGACUCUAAUCUGGUACCAAUCUUCAUGGCUUUAUGUACCUCUUACCCGCCUACAGCUCAGAUUGAUUUUCCUCCUACUCACCCUUUUGCUCACUACUCUCCUUGCAGUUCUCCUCUAACUAAUCCCUCUUGUUUCCCACUGCUCUGUUUUGUUUGUUCCCUCCUCUUCCUCCCUGCUCUGUGGCGCUCAGUCUGUCCAGCCAGGGGACGCUGGGCCUUACAGCCAAGGGGGAAGUGCCUCGCUGGGCUCCUCAGCAGACUGACACUGGGUACUUCCAGGAGUGCUUCAGAGUAUGGAUUUCCUUAGUGACACUCCUUAUCCUCCACCAGAACUCUCCUGUACAGUUAAUCCUAAGCAAUUCGUUAUUAGACCGCUCGGAAUCUGCGUUUUGGAGAGAGACCCUGCAUUUCCCAAACCAUCCCGAGUCUCUGGGGAAAUGUUGGGCAGCUUGAGUUCAAGUUAGACAAACAGCAUAGAGAAUAGAGGGAAAAUAUUCCGGCUGUUUUGCACAUGGCUGCUUUCACGGUAUGCCCCUCAGCCUGCAAGUGAACUGUUUAUAAAGAUAAUUCCACUAAGCACACACAACUGAUUCAUUUCCCUGCUGCAGCCACACUCCCAGAAAUCCUACUGAAACACUUCUGCAGUUUUAUUGCUGCAGUAUUCCUGUGGGUUAGGGCUCCUUGGGAAGUUCACUCAAUAACCUGUGCCAUGACAGCUUGCCUUGGUUGAAUGCACAGAAAGUUUAAAAAACAAUACAAACCCAAGUGGAACCAAAGAGCUCAUGGAACAGGAAUAUCCAAAUGCCUCAGGGUGAGCUGAUGGGUGGAGC